rnacentral:rRNA from 1 species
AUGGUGAAGGAUCAUCUAAUGCUGAAUGUUGAUCGCCUAAUGGUGCCUGAACCCAUUGAGAUCACUGGAGCACCCAAGAGCUCCUCAUCGAGGGACACCACUGCACUGCCCAUUACAGGGCAUUCCUUUUUUGCAGUUGGAGACAGCAUGGUUCCUGAAGAAGAACCUCUUCUGCAGAUUACGGAGUGCCGUAUUUGUCAGGAGGAAGAUGACAUUAAGAACCUGGAGAGCCCCUGUGCUUGCACCGGCAGUGUAAAGUAUGCGCAUAGGGCUUGUGUACAAAGAUGGUGCAAUGAGAAAGGAGAUGUCACAUGUGAAAUCUGCCAUGAGCCGUAUGAACAUGGGUACACUGCACCUCCCAGACCCCAUCCUGACGAAACUACCAUUGAUAUAAGUGGUGGCUGGACCAUUACUGGUACAGCAUUUGACUUGCGUGAUCCUAGGAUCCUGGCAGUAGCACAAAACCACAUUAUGGAAGCUGAAUAUGAUGAUUAUUCAGCCACGAAUGCCAGCACUGCUGCCUUUUGCCGAUCUGCUGCUCUUGUCUUAAUGGCUCUCCUACUACUGAGGCAUGCAUUGACUCUAACUGAUGAAGACGAUGAUGACACUUCAGCAAUGUUUUCACUUUUCUUACUGCGUGCGGCUGGUUUUCUUCUCCCAUUCUAUAUAAUGGCUUGGGCAAUUAGUAUAUUGCAGCGUCGCAGACAUCGACAGGAGGCAGCUGCGUUGGCAGCAACUGAGGUGGCAUUCAUCCUUCAGUCUGGGCAAGGAAGAGGAGUGCAUUUCACCAUAGCACCAGAUUCUCCUGCCACGCCCCAGCACGAACCACAACCUUGA